rnacentral:tmRNA from 1 species
GGGGAUGAUAGGUUUCGACGGGGAAGGUUUGUCGCAGGCUGCGAGUCGGGGAGGCUCCGUCUCCGCAAACCCAGGAGCAAAAAACAAUUGCCACUCCUAUGGCAAACCGCUGGGCGCCGGUCGCCGUCGCUGCGUAAGCAGCCGGUGAUUGACCCCACGACCCGAUCGGGAAAUCCGGUCGCGCCCCUCCGGCGUUUCGCUGGCGCUCCGGAGUCAGGUGAAAACGAGUCAGCGUGCAGCUCGCCCCACGCCGAUAAGGUGAGUCAAGAGCCUCGGCUGGUUCGGAUGUGGCGUGGUCGGCCACGACCCCCCGAACGAGAACGAAAACGCCGACUAUGCUUGUAGACGCCUGCUACAGAAUUCUUCGGACGCGGGUUCGAUUCCCGCCAUCUCCACUC